rnacentral:rRNA from 1 species
GGGUUGUGAGGUUAAGCGACUAAGCGUACACGGUGGAUGCCCUGGCAGUCAGAGGCGAUGAAGGACGUGCUAAUCUGCGAUAAGCGUCGGUAAGGUGAUAUGAACCGUUAUAACCGGCGAUUUCCGAAUGGGGAAACCCAGUGUGAUUCGUCACACUAUCAUUAACUGAAUCCAUAGGUUAAUGAGGCGAACCGGGGGAACUGAAACAUCUAAGUACCCCGAGGAAAAGAAAUCAACCGAGAUUCCCCCAGUAGCGGCGAGCGAACGGGGAGCAGCCCAGAGCCUGAAUCAGUGUGUGUGUUAGUGGAAGCGUCUGGAAAGGCGCGCGAUACAGGGUGACAGCCCCGUACACAAAAAUGCACAUGCUGUGAGCUCGAUGAGUAGGGCGGGACACGUGGUAUCCUGUCUGAAUAUGGGGGGACCAUCCUCCAAGGCUAAAUACUCCUGACUGACCGAUAGUGAACCAGUACCGUGAGGGAAAGGCGAAAAGAACCCCGGCGAGGGGAGUGAAAAAGAACCUGAAACCGUGUACGUACAAGCAGUGGGAGCACGCUUAGGCGUGUGACUGCGUACCUUUUGUAUAAUGGGUCAGCGACUUAUAUUCUGUAGCAAGGUUAACCGAAUAGGGGAGCCGAAGGGAAACCGAGUCUUAACUGGGCGUUAAGUUGCAGGGUAUAGACCCGAAACCCGGUGAUCUAGCCAUGGGCAGGUUGAAGGUUGGGUAACACUAACUGGAGGACCGAACCGACUAAUGUUGAAAAAUUAGCGGAUGACUUGUGGCUGGGGGUGAAAGGCCAAUCAAACCGGGAGAUAGCUGGUUCUCCCCGAAAGCUAUUUAGGUAGCGCCUCGUGAAUUCAUCUCCGGGGGUAGAGCACUGUUUCGGCAAGGGGGUCAUCCCGACUUACCAACCCGAUGCAAACUGCGAAUACCGGAGAAUGUUAUCACGGGAGACACACGGCGGGUGCUAACGUCCGUCGUGAAGAGGGAAACAACCCAGACCGCCAGCUAAGGUCCCAAAGUCAUGGUUAAGUGGGAAACGAUGUGGGAAGGCCCAGACAGCCAGGAUGUUGGCUUAGAAGCAGCCAUCAUUUAAAGAAAGCGUAAUAGCUCACUGGUCGAGUCGGCCUGCGCGGAAGAUGUAACGGGGCUAAACCAUGCACCGAAGCUGCGGCAGCGACGCUGAUGCGUUGUUGGGUAGGGGAGCGUUCUGUAAGCCUGCGAAGGUGUGCUGUGAGGCAUGCUGGAGGUAUCAGAAGUGCGAAUGCUGACAUAAGUAACGAUAAAGCGGGUGAAAAGCCCGCUCGCCGGAAGACCAAGGGUUCCUGUCCAACGUUAAUCGGGGCAGGGUGAGUCGACCCCUAAGGCGAGGCCGAAAGGCGUAGUCGAUGGGAAACAGGUUAAUAUUCCUGUACUUGGUGUUACUGCGAAGGGGGGACGGAGAAGGCUAUGUUGGCCGGGCGACGGUUGUCCCGGUUUAAGCGUGUAGGCUGGUUUUCCAGGCAAAUCCGGAAAAUCAAGGCUGAGGCGUGAUGACGAGGCACUACGGUGCUGAAGCAACAAAUGCCCUGCUUCCAGGAAAAGCCUCUAAGCAUCAGGUAACAUCAAAUCGUACCCCAAACCGACACAGGUGGUCAGGUAGAGAAUACCAAGGCGCUUGAGAGAACUCGGGUGAAGGAACUAGGCAAAAUGGUGCCGUAACUUCGGGAGAAGGCACGCUGAUAUGUAGGUGAAGUUGCUCGCGGAUGGAGCUGAAAUCAGUCGAAGAUACCAGCUGGCUGCAACUGUUUAUUAAAAACACAGCACUGUGCAAACACGAAAGUGGACGUAUACGGUGUGACGCCUGCCCGGUGCCGGAAGGUUAAUUGAUGGGGUCAGCGCAAGCGAAGCUCUUGAUCGAAGCCCCGGUAAACGGCGGCCGUAACUAUAACGGUCCUAAGGUAGCGAAAUUCCUUGUCGGGUAAGUUCCGACCUGCACGAAUGGCGUAAUGAUGGCCAGGCUGUCUCCACCCGAGACUCAGUGAAAUUGAACUCGCUGUGAAGAUGCAGUGUACCCGCGGCAAGACGGAAAGACCCCGUGAACCUUUACUAUAGCUUGACACUGAACAUUGAGCCUUGAUGUGUAGGAUAGGUGGGAGGCUUUGAAGUGUGGACGCCAGUCUGCAUGGAGCCGACCUUGAAAUACCACCCUUUAAUGUUUGAUGUUCUAACGU